UACGGGAGGCAGCAGUGGGGAAUAUUGGACAAUGGGCGAAAGCCUGAUCCAGCCAUGCCGCGUGUGUGAAGAAGGCCUUCGGGUUGUAAAGCACUUUCAGUGGGGAAGAAAGCCUUGGGGCUAAUACCCUCGAGGAAGGACAUCACCCACAGAAGAAGCACCGGCUAACUCCGUGCCAGCAGCCGCGGUAAUACGGAGGGUGCGAGCGUUAAUCGGAAUUACUGGGCGUAAAGCGCGCGUAGGCGGUCUGAUAAGCCGGUUGUGAAAGCCCCGGGCUCAACCUGGGAACGGCAUCCGGAACUGUCAGGCUAGAGUGCAGGAGAGGAAGGUAGAAUUCCCGGUGUAGCGGUGAAAUGCGUAGAGAUCGGGAGGAAUACCAGUGGCGAAGGCGGCCUUCUGGACUGACACUGACGCUGAGGUGCGAAAGCGUGGGUAGCAAACAGGAUUAGAUACCCUAGUAGUC
rnacentral:rRNA from 1 species